AGGUGGGAGGAUCGCUUGAGCCUGGGAGGUGGAGGUUGCAGUGAGCCAAGAUCACACCACUGUACUCCAGCCUGGGCAACAGAGUGAGGCCCUGUCUC
rnacentral:miRNA from 1 species